GGGGAUUUAGCUCAGUGGUAGAGCGCUUGCCUAGCAAGCAGAAGGCCCUGGGUCGGUCCCCAGCUCCG
rnacentral:tRNA from 1 species